GGGACGUGGGAGUUGAGCUCGCUAUUCGUUGAUUUGCUGAGACAGAGGAGUGAGUGCAAUUUUUCUAAUGCUGAGGCUAUAAUCCCUUUUCACAUUUUGUGUUUUUGUCGUCCGUGCGUGUUGUUGUGCUCGUGGUGUCGGGAUUUUGCGACUGUGCUCUUUUGUUGGAAGGUAUUGAUUGGAUUGUGGAGCGUUGCCUGGUGGUCGUCCGCUUGAAAGUGUUAGGUCAAGGCGUUUGAAGAUGAGUGUAAGGAAGGGGCUGUGUUGGUGUUAAGGCGUGUUCACAAGAGAAAGGGGAAUUCGGGUGGAUGGACUUGUGGUUCGCGAUGGCGGUGUGUUAGGUCAAUGACGGAAGGGGUGGUGUUGCGAGAGAGAGAGAGAGAGAAAGCGUGGAGCGUGGAGUGAGAACAGCUCUGAGAGGACAGGAAUGGCAGGGAGAUAUACGCAAUUUUCACCAUCGACAGGAGGCUCUCCGCAACUAGGCAUACGCCCCUCGAGUGUCGUCGCUGAGCACGAUAAGUAUAAGUAUCUUUCUGAACUGCUCGCGGAAAGACAGAAUUUAGGACCUUUCAUGCAAGUGCUUCCCAACUGCAGUCGUUUGUUGAGUCAAGAGAUUGUGCGAGUAACAGCGCUUGUUGGAAAUUCGUCCUUUCUCGACCAAGAUGGUGUGGAUCAUGGAAGUCCUCUCUCAUUAGGCACACGUAUAAAUAAUGGUGGUUCAGGCGACUUGAAUGGCUGGGGAGAUAGGCUUGGACUAUCUCAAUCAGGUUGGCAUGGGACUCCUGCUACUCCUGCCGGGCCAAUAGUGAAGAGGACCCAACGCAUCGACGUUCCUGUUGAUAAGUUCCCUAAUUUCAACUUUGUGGGGAGAAUUUUGGGUCCUCGUGGAAAUUCCCUUAAGCGAGUUGAGGCUUCAACAGGUUGCCGUGUGUUAAUUCGCGGCCGGGGUUCAAUCAAAGACACUGCUAAGGAAGAUAAAAUGAGAGACAAACCUGGUUUCGAGCAUUUGAAUGAACCUUUGCAUGUGUUGGUCGAGGCAGAGCUCCCAGCUAACAUAAUUGAUCAGCAACUUAUUCAUGCCCGUGAUAUACUUCUGGAUCUGCUCAAGCCUGUGGAUGAGACAUUCGAUAUUGUGAAGAAGGCUCAGCUUCGUGAACUAGCUAUGUUAAAUGGCACUUUACGUGAGGAGAGUCCUGCAUUCAUGAGUGGCUUAGCAUCCCCCUUCAACAACCCAGAAAUGAAACGUGCCAAAACUCGGCGAUAAGUGUCACCAAGAACUCUUCUAAUUUAAUGAUUUCUCAGGACCAUCCUGGGAAUAUCAUCGCUAAGAUUUCCUGCUGCUCAUUCUCGAGGAUCCUUUCUGAGGUGACAUCGAUGUAUGAGUAUCGCUGACAAGUGAAGCAUGUCAAGUUGCGGCAUCACUUUGCUUUCAAGAAGUAAUCCAUGACCAGAACAUUGAAGAACAGGGCGGAAGCUGUUGUCUCUUGUAAAUACACCACCUGUGGAGUCUGUAGCCAGUAGUGACGGCGUUGUUCAUUCCCAUUCGGUUAAGAUGAACGGUCCUUGGCAACCAGAGGGACCUCUUUAGUAUCGGUCAGGUUAUUGAAUAUGGUCGAGUUGUAAGUGCCUGCAAAUUUCAGUGACAGCUUUGGGAAACCAGCACCGUUGCAACAAGCACAUCGGCAGGCGACUUGGCUUGCCAAGAGGUCGUGCACAAUUGUGUCUAGCGGGCACGAGUUCGUCACUGGUUAGGACAAAACCAUGUGAGGGUGGGAGAAGCACUUCUAGUAUUGCCUGCUAUUAUUCAAGAGACUCUACUACCAAGAUAUGUCUGGAUUAUUAAUUGUGGGCAGAACUGGUAAGUUCAAAACUUUUUGUGUGAUGCCCUUUCAGAAUCUUGCCUAAUUAAGGGUUCGAGGGUGAGUGCUCUUGAGCUUAAGGUCUGACCCAAAUUGCGUCAUCAAUUGAUUUUUAACUGUUCCCUUCCAUCCAUAAAUUUGGGCUUUCUCUAUUAUCAUUCAAGCUACAGUCAAGUUUUGGUUUUUUUAUUGUAAAAUGACCAUCCCCAUGAGUGUGUUUUGGUUUGCAGCAUAAGGAAGCUCAGAAUUAGUGUGCCAAUUUUAACCAUCAAGUUGCAUUAUAUUUUAAAUAUUUUAUUGUGCUUGUUAUUAUUUUUAAGGAUUUUGAAAAAUAAUAUCAGUAAUUGUAAAGAAGUAUCAGUGCUAUCAAAGUCUUUAUAAUUUUUAUGUGUUUA